GACAGAGGUGCCGAGCGUUAGGCGGAAUCACUGGGCUUAAAGCGUGUGUAGGCGGACUUCUAAGUACCUUGUGAAAUCCCACGGCUCAACCGUGGAACUGCUCGGUAUACUGGUUGUCUUGAGCCACUUAGGGGCAGUCGGAACAGACGGUGGAGCGGUGAAAUGCGUAGAUAUCGUCUGGAACGCCAAAGGUGAAAGCAGACUGCUGGGAGUGUGCUGACGCUGAGACACGAAAGCCAGGGGAGCAAACGGG
rnacentral:rRNA from 1 species